rnacentral:lncRNA from 8 species
AUGGAUGAACUCUGGCGGAUCCUUGAUCGAGGGAACUCCCGCUUCGUACCUGAACUGAAGACCCGUUGGGGGACUUUUUACAACAAGGCACAGUUUUAUGGAGUGUUCAAAAAGGUCAUGAAGCCACCGCUGCUGGACAAAGUGAAGCACUCAAUCGCCUUGAUGAAGGCUUUACCUGACAUGUUCCCAUCACCUGUGGCUCCACCGAAGAAGUUAGGACAUGCAAGUGAGGCUAUGCUUCACAUCCUUGAGUCUGCAGAAGACCCCAACACAUUUCUUCAGGCGAGACCACUCUUCAGCCCUGUCGUGAUUGCGAAACCAACUGCAUACUGGCCAUUGAAACCAUGCCUGUGGUGACCUUCCCAAAAGAGGACAUCUAUGACAGCGUGACGUAUCUCAUGGCGUGUUAUUACACCUUUCACCUCACAAUUCCCAAGUGCAUUGCGACACUCCUGUCUGUGCUGCAGACAGAAGUCCUCUCGGACGCCAUCCACGACCGGGACAUGACUUCUUCAUAGAUAAAUGCUAUGGCCGAGUGGAAAAAGUUCAUUACUGACUAGGAUUGCACGAUUAAAAAAAACAUCUAUUUCUGGUCCCGAUAACAGAACUGUGUGUAUCGGCCGAUCCAAUAACCUUUAAUAAAUAGGCAGGGUGUUUGUUGUUUAUUAUAAGAAGUUUUAAAGCACUGUUACGUUUAUCUUGCCAUAGGGCUUACAUUUUCACCUUGACCACCAAUGGCCUUUGUUGUUUUUGCAUCCUUUGUUCUGCCCAUAUCAGCCUCUGGAUAUACUGAGUCCUCAAUAAAGAAGUGAAAAGAAAUGAGAUUAAUUCUUACUUUAAGCAGGCCAAUCUCAUUUCUAGUAGUAGUACAAGUACAUUUAUCUUAGUCAGGAUUACUUAUU